rnacentral:snRNA from 1 species
AGCCACGCAGUGAGCACAGAGCGAACUAUUCUUUCGCCUUUUACUAAAGAAUACCGUGUGAGCAUUGCAAUUAGUGGCAUACUCCAAUUUUUGGAGGGGUGCGCUCUUCUUGAGUGCC